rnacentral:tRNA from 1 species
GGUCCUGUAGUGAAGUGGUCAUCAUGCCUCUCUGUCACAGAGGAGAUCGCGGGUUCAAAUCCCGUCAGGACCG